GGGGCUGCCUGGUUUUGACUGCGGGUAGAAGGAAUGCGUAAGCAUGCAGUGCAUUGUCUGAUACGCACUUAAAUCUUAUCGGGUAACCUAUAACUGGCGAGAAUAACUACGCUCUUGCUGCCUAAUCGAAUCAUAGUAGAUUACGCUUAAUCCUGACACAAGGUGUCCGGACAAGACAUCGCUCGAAAGCUACGUCCUGAGGCGUUCGAUACAGCGGUGUGGUAAAAUCGGGAAUAGUCAUGGACGGCCUCGCUUCCGUGAUGAAAUCAAAGAGGCUAAGGUGAUGGUUGGUGGCUUCGGUCUUGUCAUCACACGAAAAUGAAGGCGAAGAUAAGCAUGUAGAAAGCGGAUUGUUUCCUCGUUAGGACGAGGGUUCGACUCCCUCCAGCUCCACAC
rnacentral:tmRNA from 1 species